UUUUCGAAAACCUACCAGUUAGUAGAUGUCCAGCAUUCCUUCCUGCCUGACCACGUUUUUGACCACUUUUUGCAUCUUGGAUUUCCCUGCCUUGCCUGACCCUCAUUGGAUGUCUCUCGCCUCUGGAUCACGACCUUGUUUCUACCUCUCGACCAAAGCCUCCUGCCUCACCCCUGAAUUUGUCUGCCUGAGUCUGCCUACCUGGUUUCGCCCAGUUACUGCCCCCCCCUUGACUACCGAGCCUUGGAUCUUUCCCCCUGUCGGCAAUCCGACUUCUGGCUGCGGCGUGUUCUGCACCGAUCCUCCCGGUCUGGAGACUGCCAGGACCGCACCCCGCAAAGGAGCCUAUUCUGAUUCCUCCAUCCUACACGGACUCUGUUAAGCAGUGAGCCGCAGGUGGGACAGGCACGGACCGACGGACACCCUUUGGCUCCUUUCACAGUCUGAAUUUGGACUUCUGGACAAUCUCUCAGUGUCUUCAAGGCAGAAUUGUGGCAGUCAUCAUUUUCACAGCGGUCAGAUCGAGGCUGUUGACCUUUCCACUCCCUCAAACACUGCCAGCAGAAUGCAAAGAUGUUCACACCACUUUGUCAGAGACAUCGGGGUCACCACAUGUCCGCAGGACAUCCGAGCUCUUGGAGAUGGGAAACCUUCACACAAAACUGUAAAAACAAAACCUAAUGAG